rnacentral:rRNA from 1 species
UACGGAGGAUGCAAGCGUUGUCCGGAAUCAUUGGGCGUAAAGGGUCCUGAGGUGGUUUGCUCAGUCCACUGUGAAAGUUCAGGGCUUACCCUUGAAAAUGCGGUGGAAACUAGUAGGCUAGAGUACGGUGGAGGCAGAGGGAAUUCCCGAUGUAGCGGUGAAAUGCAUAGAUAUCGGGAAGAACACCGAUGGCGAAGGCACUCUGCUGGGCCGACACUGACACUGAAAGACGAAAGCCAGGGGAGCGAAUGGG